rnacentral:rRNA from 1 species
GUAAUCACUUGUCUUUUAAAUGAAGACCCGUAUGAAUGGCAUAACGAGGGCUUAACUGUCUCCUCUUUCCAGUCAAUGAAAUUGAUCUUCCCGUGCAGAAGCGGGAAUAAUUACAUAAGACGAGAAGACCCUAUGGAGCUUUAGACACUAAGACAGACCAUGUUAAUCAACUCUAAACAAAGAAUUAAACUAAAUGAUACCCUGUCCUACUGUCUUCGGUUGGGGCGACCAUGGGGAAACACAAAACCCCCACGUGGAAUGAGAGGACUAACCCCAUAUCUUACCCUCCCACAAUCAAGAGUUACAACUCUAACUAACAGAACUUCUGACCAAACAUGAUCCGGCAAUGCCGAUCAACGAACCAAGUUACCCUAGGGAUAACAGCGCAAUCCCCUUUUAGAGUCCAUAUCGACAAGGGGGUUUACGACCUCGAUGUUGGAUCAGGACAUCCUAAUGGUGCAGCCGCUAUUAAGGGUUCGUUUGUUCAACGAUUAAAGUCCUACGUGAUCUGA